CCAGAUUCAGAAAAUGCUCCAAAUCUCUGUCUCCUGUGAAGUUGUGGACUCCCUGAACUGCUUCAUGGAAGUUCCAGGGAACAUAUCUGACAACACAAGCAACAAUUCUUGGGAUCCUACAUGACAGACUAACCAGUGUAUUACCAUGGAAGAACUGAAUACAUCACAAUACCCUGAACAUACCAUCCCCACAGUGAAGCACGGUGAUGGCAAUAUGAUGCUGUGGACAGGAUUUUCUCACGGGGCAUA